AAGACUAUAUUUCAUAUGGAAAUAAACUGGGGACAACAAAGUUUAGUCCCGUCAUUCCGCCAAACGGCUCAAAAAAUAGUCAGAAUAAUUAUUCCGGUCAAACUGAACUAUUCUAGAUAAUUCUAGAAUAACUCGAAAAUAAUUGUUCCACCUUUUUGUUGGCUUAAAUGGGCCAGGAUCUUGCCCUGUGGCGGGAGGCCAUGUGGGCCGAGUCAUGUUCGAAAUGGCGUAAGGCUGGGUUGGGCCGAGUCAUGUUCGAAAUGGCGUGAGGCUGGGUUGGGCCGAGUCAUGUUCGAAGUGGCGUGAGGCCAGGUGGGCCGAGUCACAAUCGAGACCCGUGGGCGCUGUUUCUGUACGCUUUAAGUGAAUUGGUUGCGUAUUUCUAACAGCUUGAGCUUUUGGGAUUAAUGGUUAGCGCCAACGAUCCGACAAGUGGUAUCAGAGCCAGAGGUCACGGGUUCGAUUUCUGCAUGCUGCAAAUAUGUGCAGGUGCUGGAGGGGGGAUUGUUGGCUUAAAUGGGCCAGGAUCUUGCCCUGUGGCGGGAGGCCAUGUGGGCCGAGUCAUGUUCGAAAUGGCGUGAGGCUGGGUUGGGCCGAGUCAUGUUCGAAGUUGCGUGAGGCCAGGUGGGCCGAGUCAUAAUCGAGACCCGUGGGCGCUGUUUCUGUACGCUUUAAGUGAAUUGGUUGCGUAUUUCUAACAGCUCGAGCUUUUGGGAUUAAUGGUUAGCACCAACGAUCCGACACUUUUUACUUGAAUAAGGUUAUUCUCAUAUUUGUAUCUGGCUAAUUAAAAAUAAAAAAUAUAUAUAAUCAUGGUUUAUACUUGGCUCAAUAAAAUAAAUAUAAAAAUUAUUAUUAUUAUAAAUAAUUAUUAUUAUUUUAUUUUAAAUUUUCAAUGUUUAAAAUAAUAAUAAUAAUAGUAAUCAUUGUUAUUGUUAUUACUAACAGAAGUACUACUAUAAUUAUUAUAAAUAAAAUAACAAAAUAUAUUAUU
rnacentral:lncRNA from 1 species